GAUUGCAAAAUAAGGAGAACACAUUGCGAGAAUAUGAAGCUAAGCAGAAGGUGAUCCGGGAUGCAAGACUGGCACAAGAGAAAUCACGUCUAACACGAGAUGAGAUGCUAUACUUAGCAAAAGAAGCAAAUGUUGAAGUACCAGCCGAUUUUGAUAAACAGUUCCCUGUAUAAAGUUCUUGGUACUGAAGACUGUGAUCUCUACAUUGCAUUACAAUGUUGAAGCACACGAAACCCGGUUUUAUAGAAUUUCUAAACUAUUCAUUUUUUUGUCAUCACAAACUAAAAAGUCUAGCUAAAGCUUCGUGUGUCGUCUCAUAUCUAAAAUAUUUGAAAGUGCUGACUUAUUGCUGUCGUUAAGGUUUUCUCUUCAAUAAAGCAUAACCGUAGAAAAUGGCA